AUACGGAGGGUGCAAGCGUUACUCGGAAUCACUGGGCGUAAAGCGCGCGCAGGCGGUCUUUUAAGUUGGAUGUGAAAGCCUACGGCUCAACCGUAGAACUGCAUCCAAAACUAUUAGACUAGAGUGUGGGAGAGGAAGAUGGAAUUAGUUGUGUAGGGGUAAAAUCCGUAGAGAUAACUAGGAAUACCAAAAGCGAAGGCAAUCUUCUGGAACACUACUGACGCUGAGGCGCGAAAGCGUGGAGAGCAAACAGGAUUAGAAACCCUAGUAGUCC
rnacentral:rRNA from 1 species